rnacentral:lncRNA from 1 species
UCCAACCGUUGAGAGUAAAUUACCAAUCGAGGUAGACCAUGUGGUUUCCUAAAUGAGAAUUUUCUUGAAUCUGACGGCUCUCUUACUGAAAGGAGACUAAAGAUCAAGAAACUGAAUUUUUCAUCGUCAAGUUAAGAAAACUCCACCUUUUGAAAGAAAACGACUUCCAAAUGCGCCUCUGGUUGCCGUCGUUUUUGGUAACAAACUUCCCCCCCCUAAAAUCCACACCAAUGAAUCAAAGAAGACCAAGCAGCCCUCUACAUUUCUACCAUUCUUCCAUUUGAAACAUUAGGCAAGAAGUGGAGUUGAGAACCGUUCCUAUAUAUAAUUCAUAGAAACUAUAUAAUUAUGAUUCACACAACACAUAAACAUACUACUCCGGUACUCCCUGAAAAGCAAACACCAAUCCAACUUCAAUAUAAGUAUCAUUAUUCAGCUAACGUAUUGAAAAAGUAAAAAAUAUCAAUCUAUAAAUACAAUAUACAAAUACUGUGAUGGCAAACACCAAUCGAACUUCAAUAUCAAAACCAAAACACAUUCUGAUUAGUGUGUUAUGAAGAGGAAACAAAUUAAGUAAGGACUACCAUAAACCAAUAUUUAGAGUUGUAUCAUAUAAGCGACUAUUACAUACCUUACAUUCAUAAAAUAGGUUUAAAAUUAUCAAUGUCAUAAUACACACACACACAAAAAAAAAGGAAAAAAAAAUAGGAUCAUGUCUAUUCAGUUCUUCUCAAGUUUGGUAUUCUUCACUACCUUAGUAGUCGACAUUUGCGUAGCUCCACCAUCUGACAAAUUGCAGGAAUCGUGGUAUCAUCAUCACAUAUGAAACCUAAACACUGAAUAGAAGUAAUGUUAAGUUCAUAAAAAAAAUUGCAUAAAAAAAUACAUAUAUUGAUUUAAAUACAUAUAUUUGGAGAUUUAACAUAGAAACUCAACGCCAAAUGAUAGUAGCAGGAGAAAAUAAUGUUAAAUGCAUGGUUUGGAAAUGACAAAAGAGGCAUCACAAUCACCAGGUUUGUGAAAAAAAAAAGAAAGAAACAAAUGAUGGAUGCCCAACAAAUACAAUACAAUUUGGAAUCUUUUCGUAAACAAAAAUUUCGUUAAAAAAACAU